UAGCAUAAGCUCCAUGAGGUCAGGGACUGUUCCUGUAUGCUUAUCCUUUUAUUUUCACUGCCUAUCAGAGUGCCUGCUACAUAUGGUCUGGAACAAAACCCACAUUGUUGCCAAGGUUUCCUCCACAACUUCUCUACAGAGGAGUGGUUAGUGAGCUUGAACAGCUGAGCAAUAAUCCUCAUGAGAGGUUAGAAAUUACAGUGGGAACUACUGCCAAUGAAUAAGGAUGUCUAAAUCAAUGGGGUGACCACUAAACAGGAAUCUUUAAAUGGAUUCUGGGGUUGCAGAGGCCAAGUGGCAACACUUAAUUGCCAAAGUCAAGAUGAAUUUAUGCUGUAUUGGCCAAGAGAUUAUAGUUCCAGAGGGAAGACUGCUUCUACCAGAAGACCCAAGAAUGAUUUCAUUGAAAUAGAAGUUAAGACUGCUACCCAUCUACUUUGGGCUUCUCAUGCCUCUAAGUAAAUUUUGCUUAUUUUUAGUUACUGUGCUAAUUGGAACAAUUGAUCCUGACUGCCAAGAAUAAAUCGGACUGUUGCUAUACAAUAGAGGUAAGGGAAGACUAUGUCUGGGAGGCAGGAGAUAUUUUUGGAUAUCUGUUAGUGCUACCAUGCCCUGUGGUUAAAGUCAAUGGAAAACUAUGACAACCAAAUCCAGGCAGGACUACCAGUAGCCAAGACCCUACAAGAAUGAAGGUUUGUGUUACCCACCAGACAAAGAACCAUGGCCAACUGACAUUCUUGCUGAGAACAAAGAAUGCAAGCAAUGGAAAGUGGGAAAAGUGGCACAGGUAGCACUUGGCUUUAUUGACACACUGCUGAAGAGGACACAACUUCCUGAAGAAAAAGAGAGGCUAAAGAGGUGAUUUUAGUUUGUAGAUAAAUACUGCUUUUCAAUCUGAAUAAAAUUGCAUGAAGACUUGGAACAUACAUACUUAAAGGAAGGCAAGUUUGAAAAUCUGGUUUGGGGAUUUAUGGUGGAUAUUUUUGCUUAACACUAUGUCAUACAACAGUAAUAAAAAAUAAAAAGGUGUUGUUUCAAUAAAAUU